GGGGCAUGCACCCGGCGACAUGCUGAAAGUUUGCAGAAUCGAGGCGGAGCGGAGCUGGGGUCUCAGCCCCAGAGUCGGGUUUCUCAAAGUGGGCGCCGCGGAGCAUCCGCGCCCAAGUCGUCUGAGGGCUUGUUGAGAAGGGCCGACUCCCAGUCUUGCCCCAGACCCGCUCAGUGAGAAUCUCUGCCGUGGGGCUUGGCGAUCUGCAUUUUUAGCCUCUUGGCUGAUUCUGAUGGACACUCCUUUGAGACUCGGCGAGUGAGGGCCGGUGGUGGUGCAGAAACCACGUGCAAGGCUGUGUUAGGUAGAGUCCGUAGCCUGCAUCAGUCCAGUCUCAAAGGGGCUGGACCGUCCAGGGGCAAAGAAGAGUCCUUUUCUCUUGUUUUUGCUAGCACACCUCCGGAGAAGGGUCCUGAGGGUACACCCCAUGCAAAGCAGCAGGAGCAUGCCUGCAACUAGGCCCGACUGCGUGUCCCUACCUGGGACACCCCCCAACCUGGCCAGACCAACCCUCCCGUCCUUAGUGCACCAGAUCACCCCCUGGCUCAGACGAUGCUUGGAACGCCCAGGGCAGCUCUGCCAGAGAGAAGGCCCAGGCACCUGGGGACCUUCCCCAGUCGGACCAUGGACCACCGGAGGGCUGGGGUGACUGCCCUGGUCUCAGGUUGGGCUGCAGGAGGAGCAGCAGUCAUGUCUCUUGCCUCUGACCGAGGGCCUGGGUGCUGCUUUGGGACAGCGCGGGCUGUGGGGCAGGAGAGCUGGAGUCUGCCGUGUCCUGAGCCUGGAGCAUCCGGGAGGUCUCUUCUGUGUGGGAUGAGAACACUGUGCCGCGAAUUGGGAGAGUUAAGAUGCGGGGGGUGUGUCAGAAACUCCGAGAGGAUACACAUGUCCCACAGAGGACGUUCCUUCUCCCACUCUGUGAGUGACUGCUGGGUCAACCCCCAGUCCCUGGGGGAUGGCCCUGUGUGCCCCUCAUUGGCUUGCUCUCCCUUUGGAUGUCUGGCUCCUGAAUGCCCAGCUCUGCUGGCAGAGAGCACUCAGUCUUCCUGAAGGCUGGCUUCACAGGGCUGGGUGACACCUUCCAAAUUCAUCCCCACCAGGACCCCAGCUGGGAGACACUUCAGUGCCUCUUAUCUCUAACCUGCAGGAUCACAGGCAAGGUGGCCACCAGGAAACCUGCUGACCUGGCCCCUUCCCAGGGAUGGUGGGCUCCCCCCACCUGGAGGCACACUGCAGCUGGAGUUGGCACGUUGACUGGCAGGAGGGCGUGGGGCUGGGACACCACCAUCUUGGUGGAGGGAAGCCCAGGCGACUCUGAGAGUGGGGUCUACUCUCUAGUUGCGGUACUCGGGCUCCCGCAUGGGCUUGGUUGCUCCGUGGCAUGUGGGAUCGUCCCAGCUCAGGGAUGGAACCGUGUCUCCUGCACUGGCAGGUGGAUUCUUUACCACUGAGCCACCAAGGAAGCCCUCUUCCAUCUGUUUAGAAAGAAAACUUGUAUUUGCUCCCAUCUCUCCAUCACCAAGGCCCCAUCUCUCUUCUUUCCUUUUGAGCCAAGUUUCUUGGAACUGCCUAGUAUUUACGUCCAUUCAUUUCUCACACACUGUCUCUUGCCAGUGACCCAGUUGCUAAAUUCAGUGGCCACUUUCAGUAUUCCUUGACUCUUAAGCAGCAUCUGAUCCCGUUCCCUACACUGUUUCGAAGAAACUGCACUCCCUUGGCCUAUGGGGAUACUGCUUUCCUCCAGGGAUGCCCUCUGGGGGCUUCCUGUGUUAGCUGAGUCCUUUCCUCCUCGCUGCCACCUGGGUGCAGGCAAAGACCCUUGCCUUAUUUAUCCUCAUGGCUUCACGCGACAUGCACACACUGAUGACUCUAAGUCUUGCUUUCCAAUUCACAGGCUGAUAAGUUAACCUGUCACUGAUCCUCGCAUGCCAAUGGAAGAGGUGACACUCCUGGAUCAGAGAUGUACGGCUUUCUACUCAGGCCCACGUAGUGUGAACAUCAGCCUAUUUGCAUCGGCUGCCUGGCCUCCAAGUCUCACGGGGAUGCUGCACCUGUCGCGGGUUUACACCACCAAGGGUGGAGGACACCCGGCUGGAGAAGCCUGGAGGGAACAAACGCAGCGCUGAGAAGUGAUCCGGGUGCCUCCUCCCCAACCUGCCCUCCGCGGGCUCUGCUUCCUGUGAGCAGCCGGAAACCCUGGAGCCGCUGUGCGCUCCGGUCUCGGAACACCUGCGUCUGCCGGAUAGGUGUCCAUCUCAUGUUUCUCCAAGUCUGACUACUUGAGCUCAAUGCUGCUGUCCUGGCCUGGGAUCUCCUCAAGGGCUGGUUGUCUACUGGUGGCCAGAAGGAGGAGCUCAGCAUAAAUUUGCUGAGUGAAAAGUGUGUGGACCCCCGUGCAUGGCGGGCACUCAGGAACCAGAGCACUAAGAUGCCAGUGGGGCAUGUUAACAUGGAAGCUACAGGUGACCUUCAGGAAACCUGUCUGCAGAGAAUCAAGGUAAGAAAGUUGAAAAGUGCUGAUGAAGCUCCUUCUUUCAAGAGACUUGGUUGUGACUUGGCUCGUGGCUGGUUGACUUGGGGCAGUUCCUUCUUGGUGGUGGUUUGUUAUGAGUGAAAUGGAGCAUUUAUUUAGAGGGAACCCAGGAAUCUAUCCUUUUGGUUGUUCUCUUUUAUUUAAGCAUCUAAUUUUGGUAACUUGAGAUGCAUUGGACUUUUCUCACCAUCAAACCAGGAAUUACAAAAUUCUCAUCAUGAUUUUUCUUUGAACAUUCACUUCAGUUUUUUCUAUGGUAAGAUUUGAAGUUAAAAUUAAAGAUCUUUCAGAUUAUAUAAAUGUUUAAGUAAACACAUCUAAUUCAUGGAUCAAAUACUAAAUAUUUUUAUCUGCAAUGUCAAGCUCUUAUUGCUGCAGUGCAUUUUACACUAAUAAUAUUGAAGCCUUUUCUUAAUAAUCAUGCAAAAAUGUUUUGAUAGUCCUUUUUAG